CCCUUGGUUUCCUUGGUUCAACAAGGGAAUUGCGUUCACGAUGACUGAGAGAGAUCGUCUUCUUCCAUCUAGUGCCAUGGACUCUGAGCAUCAAAUUCAGCGUUCCAUGACCGACUUGAAGAGAAUGGAGGAGCAAGCAAGAGAUGGACUUUCUGAUCCCAAUGCUCUUGCUAAAUGGCGAAUCCUUUUGCAGGAUCGAAGUGAGACCAUGUACUGAUGUACUAUAUGGUCAACUCCACUUUCUCUCUUUGUCACAAGUUGAGAAAACAUGUUUGUUUGAUUCUAAUCCGUGCUUGGAAGCCAAGAGGAAUGUAUUUUUAGCGCUGAAGAUCGUGGUGGAAUGAUGUCCAUGGGUUACAACUACCCAGCUGAACAGACUUGAAGUUGUCUAAUGAGUAUACAUGUAGCCAUCAUGGAUAUCGUGUGAAAGUGUACAUGUGAGGUAAUUAUUGUACAUG